GAUGAACGCUGGCGGCGUGCCUAAUACAUGCAAGUCGAGCGAACAGACGAGGAGCUUGCUCCUCUGACGUUAGCGGCGGACGGGUGAGUAACACGUGGAUAACCUACCUAUAAGACUGGGAUAACUUCGGGAAACCGGAGCUAAUACCGGAUAAUAUAUUGAACCGCAUGGUUCAAUAGUGAAAGACGGUUUUGCUGUCACUUAUAGAUGGAUCCCGGCGGCAUUAGCUAGUUGGUAAGGUAACGGCUUACCAAGGCUACGAUGCGUAGGCGACCGGCGAGGGGGAUCGGCCACACUGGAACUGGGACACGGUCCAGACUCCUACGGGAGGCAGCAGUAGCGAAUCUGCCGCAAUGGGCGAAAGCCUGACGGAGCAACGCCGCGUGAGUGAUGAAGGUCUUCGGAUCGUAAAACUCUGUUAUUAGGGAAGAACAAAUGUGUAAGUAACUAUGCACGUCUUGACGGUACCUAAUCAGAAAGCCACGGCUAACUACGUG
rnacentral:rRNA from 1 species